GGAAUAACCUCGGGAAACUGAGGCUAAUUCCGGAUACCACAUUCAUCCUGGAAUUGGAGAAUGUGCGAAAUGCUCCGGCGCCAUAGGAUGUGGCUGCGGCCGAUUAGGUAGACGGUGGGGUAACGGCCCACCGUGCCGAUAAUCGGUACGGGUCAUGAGAGUGAGAGCCCGGAGACGGACUCUGAGACACGAGUCCGGGCCCUACGGGGCGCAGCAGGCGCGAAACCUUUACACUGCACGACAGUGCGAUAGGGGGACACCGAGUGCGAGGGCAUAGAGCCCUCGCUUUUCUGAACCGUAAGGAGGUUCAGGAACAAGGGCUGGGCAAGACCGGUGCCAGCCGCCGCGGUAACACCGGCAGCCCAAGUGAUGGCCGAUAUUAUUGGGCCUAAAGCGUCCGUAGCUGGCCGUGCAAGUUCGUCGGGAAAUCCACUCGCUUAACGAGUGGGCGUCCGGCGAAAACUGCUCGGCUUGGGACCGGAAGAUCCAAGGGGUACGUCCGGGGUAGGAGUGAAAUCCCGUAAUCCUGGACGGACCACCGAUGGCGAAAGCACCUUGGAAGGACGGAUCCGACAGUGAGGGACGAAAGCUAGGGUCUCGAACCGGAUUAGAUACCCGGGUAGUCCUAGCCGUAAACGAUGCUCGCUAGGUGUGGCGCAGGCUACGAGCCUGCGCUGUGCCGUAGGGAAGCCGUGAAGCGAGCCGCCUGGGAAGUACGUCUGCAAGGAUGAAACUUAAAGGAAUUGGCGGGGGAGCACUACAACCGGAGGAGCCUGCGGUUUAAUUGGACUCAACGCCGGACAUCUCACCAGCUCCGACAGCAGUAAUGACGGUCAGGUUGAUGACCUUACCCGACGCUGCUGAGAGGAGGUGCAUGGCCGCCGUCAGCUCGUACCGUGAGGCGUCCUGUUAAGUCAGGCAACGAGCGAGACCCGCACCUCUAGUUGCCAGCAGCAUCUUGCGAUGGCUGGGUACACUAGGGGGACUGCCGUCGCUAAGACGGAGGAAGGAACGGGCAACGGUAGGUCAGUAUGCCCCGAAUGAGCUGGGCUACACGCGGGCUACAAUGGCCAAGACAGUGGGAUGCGACACCGAGAGGUGAAGCUAAUCUCCUAAACUUGGUCGUAGUUCGGAUUGCGGACUGAAACCCGUCCGCAUGAAGCUGGAUUCGGUAGUA
rnacentral:rRNA from 1 species